AGAACAGAUAUAAUGAAAAAAGUUUAAAUUGAAAAAAAAUCUCUUCGAAGUCAUGGGCUGUGGACUUUCAAAAAAGCAUCAGUUAACUACGACGGAUUUGGAUUGGUUAGAAACACACACUAAACAUGAUAAAUCUUCUCUUAUUGAGAUGUUUAAAGGUUACAAGAAUGAUUUCCCCCAGGGCGGGAUAUCUCGGGAUCAGUUCCAACAUUUCUUUCCAGACUUAGGAUAAUACUUUUUUUUUUUUUUGUCAAGCGAAAAAAAAGAAGAAAUUGAACAAUUUUUCAUUUUUAAUUUUGGGAUAAACAAUGAGUUAAACUCAUUCUCUUUUCACGAGCCACAUAGAUCCAGACUGCCACAUAGAUCCAGACUGCCACAUAGAUCCAGACUGCCACAUAGAUCCACACUGCCACAUAGAUCCAGCCUGCCACAUAGAUCCAGACUGCCACAUAGAUCCAGACUGCCACAUAGAUCCAGACUGCCACACAGAUCCGGACUGCGAUUUUUCGAAACUUGGUUGACAGUGAAGUGUCACAACGUAUUGGCUCUUAAUUUUACCUCACUUACUUACUUUGACGUUUGUGUAGCCCUAGACAUGUACAUUUUAAAGAUCUCUGAAACGUUUGUUUUUAGCUGUAGUUUUAAUGAAAUAAUUAGCAAAACUCUAAUCGAGUUUUUCAACCCCUGGAUCAAUGUGGGUCGGAAUGCCGAAUGACCUUUUUACCCUUGUUGUUCAAAACUUUAGUGAUUUGAAAAAUGGCUAAUUAGUAAAGGAUUAGUAAAGGAUUA